GGAAAACAAAAAAUGAGCCUUGUGGGCAACAGGAGGAAAGCCACAUUCACCAGCCGGCAGCACCCCACGCUGGCAGGGGGAGAAAUCUGAGCCUCAGCAGCCCCGAGCAGGAUUUGCACAAAGUCUCCCGUUUCAAGUUGCAUGUCUCUGGCGUCCCGGGGAAGGCACUCCAGCCCACGUUAGCCUCUCAGAGCCCCAAGAAUUGAUAAGAAACCCUUUGUAUUACCCACAGGACACGAAGGACACCAGCAAAGGGACACCGAUUAAACAGAAAUAACCAACUAAGAAGGCACUUCUAAAGUCUACGCUAGGAAAGAAAACAGAUCCCAAUCCCCAAGUCUGUGGACAAACACCACAAGUUUUCAUGUGAGCAGAGCCACUGGUCCAGAAUCCAAGCCUCUGAUGGAAUCUGCAUGAAAACAAGAACGUUGUGGCUCAGGAAGUUUCCCAUUGGGUUGGACUACAUUAGUGAUACUGUCCUGACUUGCUUUUCUGAGGAGUAUUUGAUAUCAAAUAAGCUACACAAAUUUAAAGUGUACCAUCUGCAUGUUUUGCUGAUGUAUCAAGAAAAUCUUUGCCUAAACUGACCUAAGUGCCAUACUAAAAUACCAACUACUGAGAAAAAAAUCAAGUCAUUUGAGAGUCAUUACAGACUCUUCCUAGGAAAAUGAUCUUAACCAGAAACUCUGAAGCCCUGUGAGUCCUUACAACACCCCAGAGAUGUGCUUAUAGAAAAUGCAAUCAAUGAAGCUCCACAACACAGUGCGUCAGUCAUGGCUAGUCACCACCACCCCAAAGUCAUUCCCAGAGCCUGAGAAAAGGUCUAUAAAAUCAGCCACCGGGGGUGGGGGUGGGGCAGGAUGGGAACUUACAGCACAUGAAGGAGCCUUUCCCACAUAUCCUCAGGGACAUGGCUGAACUGGUAGUGAGACAGGGAACAAAGGAUUCUGGUUUAGUCCAGCCCUCACCACUCUUUUGGGUGGUGUAAACUAUGACAAAUAAGUUUUCUUCCCUGAGCCCCAGCUCCCUUCUCUGCAAUACAGUGAUAAUAAUAAUACCUUUCCAGGCCACCCCUUUGGGUUUUCCUGGACAAUCAAGGAGAUGUAGGGCAAACAUACAUGUAAAGCCCUCUGAAUUUCUCAUUUGUUACCUCUUCCAGGAAGCCUCCCAGCAUCUUCUCCUCGAAGGAGUUCUGGGGCUGGUUGAAUGAACACCUUCUCUUCAUAUUCCUCUGUACUGAGGACAGUGGGAUGAGACUCCUAGUCCCUCUGGCAGGGUGAUCUUAAUCUUUUCUCUUGACUUCUCAGAACAUCUAUGCCUUGUAUCAAUCUUUAGGUAAUCUCCAAGGCCCCUUCCAACUCUGACAUAGUCUUGAUUCUAGGCGGACAUUUCCUAUGACUAACACACUCAUAUGAAAAGAGACCUGAUUGAUUUGGGGUGGGGCUGGGUAGAUGGUAUUGGGUAGACUGUUAUGCUCUUUCCUCAAGUGUUCAAUAUAAGCAUUAUGGUACAACACAAAGAGCCCUGGGUCUGCACCCAUGCUCUCUGGAUGGAUGGAUGGAGCUCUAAGAACUUGAGCAUCUCUUGUAAGUUGCCUGGGCCAGUUUCCUCAUCUAUAAUGAAGAGACAUGAGUUGCUGUUCUGUCUACCCUUUGGUGCAGUAAACCUGAAAAGGAUUAUUAUUAUUGUCAUUGUUUUUCUGAAUAUUUCAGGAUUCUGUACAGAGAUAUAGUGAAGAUAUUAUAUAUCACACACAACAAAAUGAAAUAUGCCAAAAAUACAUUUUGCACCAAGUUAGAACUUGAAGGAGAAAUUG